GAAGGUAUAGUUCAGUGGUAGAGCUCAUGCUUAGCAUGUGUGAGGUCCUGGGUUCAAUCCCUAGUACCUCUA
rnacentral:tRNA from 1 species